rnacentral:rRNA from 1 species
GAUGAACGCUGGCGGCGUGCUUAACACAUGCAAGUCGAACGGAAAGGCCCAAGCUUGCUUGGGUGCUCGAGUGGCGAACGGGUGAGUAACACGUGGGUGAUCUGCCCUGCACUUCGGGAUAAGCCUGGGAAACUGGGUCUAAUACCGGAUAGGACCACAUUUUGGAUGGUGUGGUGGAAAGUUUUUCGGUGUGGGAUGAGCUCGCGGCCUAUCAGCUUGUUGGUGGGGUAAUGGCCUACCAAGGCGUCGACGGGUAGCCGGCCUGAGAGGGUGUACGGCCACAUUGGGACUGAGAUACGGCCCAGACUCCUACGGGAGGCAGCAGUGGGGAAUAUUGCACAAUGGGCGCAAGCCUGAUGCAGCGACGCCGCGUGGGGGAUGACGGCCUUCGGGUUGUAAACUCCUUUCGCUAGGGACGAAGCGCAAGUGACGGUACCUGGAGAAGAAGCACCGGCUAACUACGUG